AAAAUUAACGUAACACGCAAGAAAUGAGAAAUUGAAAUACAAUUAUAUCACCCAUCCUGUUUGCCAGUUUAUUCUCUUUUGGUACACAAUUAAAUUUUUGAGAAUAAUCAUCCUGCCUAUUCCGAGAGAAACAAAAGGGAAUCACAAAGUCCAGAU